UACGUAGGGUGCGAGCGUUAAUCGGAAUUACUGGGCGUAAAGCGUGCGCAGGCGGUGAUGUAAGACAGAUGUGAAAUCCCCGGGCUCAACCUGGGAACUGCAUUUGUGACUACAUCGCUGGAGUGCGGCAGAGGGGGAUGGAAUUCCGCGUGUAGCAGUGAAAUGCGUAGAUAUGCGGAGGAACACCGAUGGCGAAGGCAAUCCCCUGGGCCUGCACUGACGCUCAUGCACGAAAGCGUGGGGAGCAAACAGG
rnacentral:rRNA from 1 species